rnacentral:misc_RNA from 1 species
UACGUAGGUGGCAAGCGUUGUCCGGAAUUAUUGGGCGUAAAGCGCGCGCAGGCGGUCUCGUAAGUCUGGUGUGAAAGCCCACGGCUCAACCGUGGAGGGUCAUUGGAAACUGGAAGACUUGAAUGCAGAAGAGGAAAGUGGAAUUCCACGUGUAGCGGUGAAAUGCGUAGAGAUGUGGAGGAACACCAGUGGCGAAGGCGACUUUCUGGCCUAUAACUGACGCUGAGGCGCGAAAGCGUGGGGAGCAAACAGG